UCUGCAGUACCAAAUGGGUAUCAGCAAAGACAAUGGGGUCCAUUUAUGGGUCAGUAGGAGGAUGCUAUUGCCCCACAGCACUGGAUAGUUGUUUUGUUUUGUUUUAUUUAAGAGAUCAGCGAGGAUCACUGGAGGGCAUCUCUCUGGAAAAGAAGUGUGUGCAGUUGGACACUGGUGCCCAAAAGAGAUGACCAGUAAACAGACAGGCACAGCCAGGAGGGAACACGCAUAGCAUGUGGAGGACGCACGCAAGACAACAACACUCCGCAAGUGGAGCAGCAAGGCUUGGCAUGUUGUUGUUGCCCCCUCCUAGCCCACACAGCUUUGAAGAGUAACGGAUGAUGAUGGCAGAUAAGAAGAGAAUGGCAGCACGCACGUGUCUCUGGACAUUUCUUUUCCUGUCUGACUCUGUGGCAUGAGAUCGCCGCAUCUAUGUAUGGGCAAGCACAAUCUUCAAAUAAAAUGCUGUCAAUCAA